AUCUAAUUCAUGCUCCUAAAAAACUAGGCGUUUUGGGCAUUUUCAUUUUAGAGGCUCUAGAACAGUAAGGGUUAAGCCAGAGAUGUCCAGAUGUCCCUUUGGAUAGUAUUUCCCUAAAUUCUGCUGGCUGUCAUAGAAUUAUAGAAACUGUGAGUGACACUGACCAUCGAGAUGGAUUAAUUAGGUGGAAAUCACACAGAAUAUUCAUACGAUGCCUUCUCC